rnacentral:lncRNA from 1 species
CCAUUUUAAUUUUCCAUUUAAUUUAAAUGUAUUCUCUCAUUUGACCUUCAUACUCUGUGGAGAAAUAUUUCUAUUUCGGCUUGUAUUGACAAGCUGUUUUCACACAGCCCCGCAUCACCCAACCAACCAGCAGAGAUCCUCAUUCCCAUGAAACAGAUAAAGAAACUGAGGCCCAGGGAGGCUAAGUCCUGCCAGGAUCAUUCACCUUCCAAGCCAAGCAAGCACUGGCUGUGAGAGAAGCAAGAUUAAAACAAUUACAACUCACCCAGUUCACAGAGCUGAGUAACUGAUCUCCUGCCCCACUAACCUUAACGACAGCUUUCACUGGACAAGGGACUGAUUUCAGUAACUUUCUCCUGAUAAGAGACCAUCCUCCAUGGACUGGUUCUGGCCAGUUUUAGAGGCUGUGGCUUUACAGAGGCUGAGUACCUUCUAUGUCCCUGCUUCACUUUUUGAUGUGUAGGGCCUAAUUAUAAUACAUUUAAAUGUCAAGUCUCCA